UGUAUCCAGAGAUACCCUUCUUGUCCUCAAUAGCUUGCUGUGGACAUAGGAAACAAAUACAAAAUGUGAGGACAGGUGCUGGCAGACCAUGGAGUGAGUUCUCUAAUAUGGAAACUGAGACACAGAGAGAUGACUUGCUCAAAGUGACAAGACAUUUGUGGCAGUCUGGGAGUAGAACUCAGGUCUCCCAAUAUCUAUUCAUGGGCUUGAGCCACAAGAUUGCCUUUCUUCUCCUAAGAUGAAAGGCAGUGAUUGGUGUGCAUGUGUUGUCCUGUUGUGAGCAUUUGCCUUGGACUGUGUGAGGACUCAAAUAUGCUGCCUAUCCCAAGAGGGAAGUGUCUGAUGUUAACAUGACCAUAGGAGGAUUGUGGCUGAAUGGGACUCCUGCACAAACAUUGGAAGGAUUCUUCUACUAGGCUCUUCCCUUAAAAGAAGUGCUGGGGAUAUGAGUCUCCGAAACAAUGUAUGUACUGGGAAUGCCCAUCAGCCAUCACCAAGGGGGACAGCUUCUUGAAACAAGAAGCAUCCCAGACAGAAGAAAAAUUUGUUUGGACCCUCCCCCCCAAUAGGGGAAAAAUUAAAACAAUUAUUCAGACACAUUUUUAAGAAAAGAAAAGCACGAACAACCAUGCCAACAACUAUAAGGUUACUAACUAAAUAUACUACUGUACUAAAGAACUAACUACUAAUGCAAAGCACAAAUAGGCACACAUUAAACUCCCAACUCUGGCUGAAGGUGGUUGAGAAGGUUUGCCCAUGCAGCCCUAUAUAGCCUCAAUAUAGGCCAUGACAAUAUGUAGGGCGCAUGUGCGGGUCAAACUGGCACUGCUUCCACAAAUCUAUGAUCAAAGUCGCAGGGCGCAUGCUCACCUGAAAUGAAGCACCCACAGGGACAUUACUCAAAGAAGAAUCUAUGUUAUUGAAACAUUAAGCUUGCACAAGUAAGCAUUCAGUUGUUAGAAAGUGCAAAAGUUAAGGUUGAUUGAGAAACCUAACUCUGUCCCCACUGAACAUAUACAUCACAAUACAGUCUGCAAGUCUGAUUCACCACUUCAUUACUCAAGUUUAGCCUUAGAUUCACACUGGCGUAAAGAUGGAGUUACACACUGGUGAAUCAGGCAAUAUAAAUUUAUGAGCACAUCAUCUUAGAUCCCAAGGUGUAUUUAAGGUUGGCUAGACAAGUGGUGAGCUGAGAUCUCUGCUUAACGUACAAUAACUUCUGCCUAAUCCUCUCCUUCCCCCACAUUUGUUUGCCUUGUCCACUGGUCCUGUCUUGGCAUAAUUUAGACUGCAAGUUCCUUGGGGUCAGGAUCAUCUUUUCAAUGUGUGUUUGUACAGAGCUAACACAAUGGGACCCCAGUUCUGGAUCGGGGUUCUUAGGCAC